rnacentral:snRNA from 1 species
GUGCUCACUUCGGUAGCACAUAUACUAAAAUUGGAAUGAUAGAGAGAAGAUUAGCAUGGCCCCUGUGCAAGGAUGACAUGCAAAUUCAUAAAGCAUUCCCUAGUUUU